CAGGCUCAGGCCAAGCCCAGGCCUCAGCAGGACUGCACAGCUGCCCACCAAUGUCCUCCUUCUGCCCAGGACCCCGCAAAGGUGACCGGAGGCCGGGAUGGAGCUGGGCCUGCCAAGCCCGCCGGCCACCUCCUGUGACUGCAGGGCCGGGACGUCUCGUCUCAGCAGACACAGCAGACCCCACUCGUAGGCAGGAGCAGCAAGGCACAGACCCAUCCGUCACUGGCCGAGCAUCUGGCUGCAGAAGCCAACGCUGGUCCCUCCGUCCUGCCCCGGCUUGGCCGCCCCUGCUGCUGACGCCUCCCUGAGCGCCUGCCUGGUCCUCUGCCAAGCAGAGGUGCCGGCUUCCCCGGACACUCCAGUCUCCGCGCCAAGGUGGCAGACCCUUCUGCUGGGCCAGCAGGGCCCCGCCACGUCCACCUGCCAUGUGCUCCUGGCUGGCUUUCCCGUUUGGCUAGCAGACCACCGACCCUCCACGGGCAGGCCGGGUGCACAUCGCCUCGCAGAGCCCAGAACCCACGCAUCUCCCGAGUGAGCCCCGGGCCAGCCCCGUGCCUGGCACACAGGAAACGCUCGGCUGGGCAGGCCAUGUUGCCUGAGACAGGCCGACCCAGGCCCUCAGCAGUGGGGGUGGCCUGGCGGCUACGGCUCCUUCACCCUGGGAGUCUCAGGAGGACUCAUGGGAGCCCACACACGCGGCUGCCCCCAGUGCCUUCGGGGGCCUCACAGCGCUCAGGUGGGAAGCAGCCACGCAGGCUGUCCGCAGGGGCCACGGUCAGCUCCACGCAGCAGAGACGCAGGAUGGCGCCAGCACGAAGGCCCUGGAGCCCUGGCUCCCUCAAGUGACCGUCGCUGACCUCAAGAUGGGGCAAGGUCUUCAGACGAAGGGAAGCACACACCUGUGCUGCGCCCCAGCGGGGUCGCCAGAGGAGCACUGCGGCCGCAGGAGACCCACCAGGCCCAAGAGUGAGGAACUCCACACUGGCACGGCUCUUCUGAGGACAGAAAAGGUGGGCACACAUCCCAGAUUAUUCUGUCGCCACCAUAACCUGGGCAAUGAACCUGCAGAGAACCAUGUCAGGAAAAAAACAGAAAUGCGUGGCCUACAGAUUAGCAAAAGGUCAGUAAACCGAGUCCAACAACAUCCAGAAAGGACCAUGCAGGGUGCAGAUUAGCCUAACCCGAAGCUCAGCCAACGAGCCCACCACACUGGCAGGAGGAAGAUGGGGAAAGAGGCGCAAACACCAACCCAAUGUCAGUGCACUGAGAAGGAAGGGACUGGCCCCAGCCUACCAGAGAAACCUGCAGCACACAAGGACACAUGGCCUCGGCAGGGCAGGGCAGGGCAGGGCAGUGCGACCGAGGAUGGACAGGAGGGCACCCAGGGCAGAGACCGGCAAGGCACCAGAGGCAAAGAAGACUCAUGAGAGGCCUGGUUCCUAGGGUAGGGGCAGAGCUGUCCCCGUGUGGAGUCCGUGAACCUGCACAUUAGAAUUAACAAGAGUCCAGCAAGGUUGCUGGGCACCAGCCUGACAAAAUCACUUGCAUUUUUCCAUUCUCCAACUGCAAACAAUCAGAAUACGCAAUGGAAGAAAUAACAGAAAAGCCACAAAGUGCCUCGUAACAGCUCUCCCUGGACAUGGGCUGCCUCUGGGCCGGGCUGACUGCACCCGCAGCCCCCACUGCCGUGGCCUGGAACCAGCAUCUGGAGGGUGAGGCCCUGCCCUGCCCAACAGCAACAGCGGGGAGCAGGGCAAACGGGGACCGGCUGAGGCCACUGCGUGUCCACCCGAGAGGCGAAGCCGACUCACACCGGGAAAAGGCCAGGCAGGUGCAGGGCGGGACAGACAUGGCGGGGUGGGGUGGCCAGAGGUUGGUCUCCAAGGUGCCUUCCCAACCUCGAGACAGGGACAGAGUUUUUAGACGUCAGCAACACACACACAGGCGAGGUGGCCCUACAAAUCUGAAGACCCUCUAAUGGCCACAAGCGACGUAAGAGUGAAGAGCCAAGUAAAUCAGAAAAGAGCAGAACAGGCCAAAAGGCAUGCAGACGUGUCACAAAAUGGGAAAAAUCUAACUGAGCAUCAGGCGCAGCUUCGUUUGUUAUCACAGAAAGGCCAGCUACAAGCACUAGGGGGUGCCGGGUUGGAGGGCGGUGAGGGUCCGGUCGGGGUGACCUGGGGGCCGCACCUCCGCCCAGCAGGCUCUUGGCUCCCACGCGGGCGCUGCCCACUGGCCGGGCCCAGGCUCUGAACACAGGCAACCCGCCCCGCCCACCUCAAAGGCCGCAGGGCCUCCAGGCUCAAUCCACCCGCCCAGGCCAAGCCCCCACCAGAGUGGGGACACGGCGCCUGGCAGCAGCCGCAGUGCAGCAGGGUGGGAAGAAUGCGGCCUCUUGACCAUGCAGAGGGCUGGCACAUCAGGGGCAAGAGGGCGGGUCUGGGAGCUCGGCCACAGAGCCACGCAGAUCGGGUCCCAGGGUGACCGCUGCGUCCCACUUGGAAGACACCACACCUCCCUGGGACAAGGAUGCAUAACGGCCUCACGGCCCCGGAAGGGGAGGGAGCCCAGCUGAGGACGGCUGAGCAGCUAGCAGGCCACGGGCGGAGGCCAGAGGGAGAACCCCCGCGCGGCCCUUGGUGAUGCUGCCACCCUUGGGCGUUCUCAGCAGGCCUGUGUGUGUAACACGAAGAGGCUGCUCUCAGCCCUCGGCCUUUUAAAGGGCAAUUUGCUGCACGGGGGUGAUAUGGAUGUAAAGAGGCUGCCGACAGGUGACAAAGCAGCUGGAAAUAUCACGGGUCUUGGAAACGCCAUUUGUUUUUAAAAAAUGACAGAAAAGGGGCCGGG
ensembl:lncRNA